UGAAUCUCACCGAGGUAAGUGGAUAGUGAAGGAUUUUAUUAUUGAUAAAUGAAUUUAUUAUGAAUUAUGCUUCAUUAGUCGUUUUUGUUUUCUACCAACCUUUACUACUGUGACAAUGAGAUAGUGUGACAUCUUUACUGGGCUAGUGUAGCUCAUUCCUUACUUAACCAUUUCAUAUAAGGAGGACUUGGUUCCCGAGCCCAUUCCGCAAGAAGAC
rnacentral:lncRNA from 1 species